CCUCCUCCACUCGGUGGUUGACACAUCGCUUGCCUACUUGAACUUGACUUUGUUAUCCGUACCCUCCCCGUUUGCAGAAUGAACUUGGGGUGGCUUUGUUCCCUCUUCGCUCUUGGAAAAUAUUAUUUUUCAGAGCUUUCACACUCAAUGGCAUUCUCGGCAAAUGACCUAGGAUGGUUUGUAUGAUUGUUUUAUGUUCGCUUUUUAAAACUCUAGAAUAUCAGUCUUGUUCAGCAGCCUUGAAAAUCACAGCCCCUUGAGUAGUACUUAUUUAUGAGGUCGGAGGGAAUAAAACUCUGACUUUGGGGCAAUUCGAUGGAGUAGAAGCCAAAGUGCACUAGACGACUGUGGGAUUCUGCACAUCAGGGCCUGGAACUUGACGGCUUCUCCACGGCCUGAACAGAUGGAAGGAGGCCAGGGUUAUUUUGUGAGAUUAUUUGACUGGAUGAUCCCAGCCGCAUGGGGAGGGUCUGCCAUGGCAGUGACAGAGCCUCAGGGGACGCUGAGGACUAGGCAGGCGUCCGCAGAGCCCAGAGAGGACAGUGUGUGUCGGCCUGGGGUGGUCUCAGCCCUGCCUGGGCCCAUCAGACAGCACCCCCCCAGCUCUGCGCACCCCCCUCCUUCUGCUAACCUCACUUCUCGGAAGUCACAAGAGCUUUGUGAUAAUAUUUUAAAACUUAGUCACAAGUCUCUUGAUUUAAGGCAUGUUUUCUAUUAUAAUCUCGAGACACGAGUGAAGUGGUACACACUGAGAGAUAGAGUCACAAGACAGUCAUAUUUACUUGGUUAGCAUCCAAAAAUAAAAACUGGAAGGAAAUAAGAUAAAACGUAGAACAAUGUUCCCUUUUAGUAUUUGGGACUAUUCAUGUCAUUGAAGCGUGGAUCAAACAGUGACUUCGGAAUUGGGAGGAUCUGGUCACAAUGCCAGGCGGUUGGACAUUCUGGCAACCGGGGCGUGAUGUGGCCUGUGAGAAACGAGGCGACCAAAAUAAUCUUUAAAUCUGCUGUGUCUUUGUCAUUCCCCAAUAGCUGACUCAGUGAUAGACACCCAGUGAAUUUUCACUCAUGUUUAGGACAAAGGGCACUUUUACGUUUCAUGUGCAUUUCCUGAAAAGGAAGUGUUUCUAUAUCUGUAGUUCUUAAUCAACGAGAGGAGGCUUUGCUCCCCAGGAGGUAUUUGGCAAUAUUUGGAGAGACUUCCGGUCGUCAGAACAGGGAAGGCGAGUGCUCCUGGCACACGGAGGGUGGAGGCCAGGGAUGCUGGAGAACAGCUUCCGGCAUCUUACGGCGUUUUACGGCGCCGCACAUCAUCUAACGGCAUCAUACGUCAUCUCGCAGCGACGCACACCAUCUUACGGCAUCAUACGUCAUCCUACGGCGUCGCACACCAUCAUCAUACGGCAUCAUACGUCAUCUUACAGCGUCGCAAAUCAUAUCACAUCAUCUUACAGCAUAUACGUCAUCUUACCGCGUCUCACAUCAUCAGACGGCAUCUUACUUCAUUUCAUCUUACGGCAUCGUAUGGCGUCUUGCAGUGUACAGAUGAACCCACAGUGAGAAGUCCCGCCCCAAAUGAUAUCAGUAGCACUGGGGUUGGAAACCCCAGUAUGUGUGUAAAAUCAUUACUUAGUUCCAAUCAUCUCUGUAAAAGAAGAUUUAUACGUUGUCAAGUUGAAUUCCUCCUUCAUCCAGGCAGGAUUUUCAGGAGACCAGAGAACCAAGUGGGGAGAUUAUUAGCGUGUCAGGAGAUGACUGCCUGCUUCAAGUCAAAACAUCGCCACUUUUUUUUUUUUUUCUCCCUUGGAGACUUCAGGCGCAAAUCCAUGCGUUGGCCCGUGCACCAAAGCAGACAGUCUCGUUACACUCACAGCAUGGAACCCUGUUAACUACUGUUAAAAGCCCUGCCGUGGGAAUCAGCCAUUUAGCUAAGCUUUAUCCAGUGAGCCACGAAAAGCUUCUUUCUAGAUAGGACUUCCACGUCAACCAGAGACGUCAAUCUGACCUUGCAGGAAAGUCACCCGGCUGGUCUUCAGGUGCCUUCGGGACAAUACCACGAGAUGCCCUACGUCUGCACCCCGAGGACCUGCACGGAGACGACAACCCACCCCCUCAAGGGGAGGGUGACCUGACACAUCAGCUUAGCUCUGAGGGCAUCGAGCAAAGCAUCUCAGAUCUCCAGAUUUUUUUUCUCCUGGAGUCUACCUUCCGCAGCCCCCAACCAUGACCACUUGGGAAGCAUUUUUCCUCUCAUUUUGGCAGUUCUUUAUUCUCGAGUUGCAUAUUAACUUUGAAAUGAAUAUGCCUUUAUUUUUAUUUCUCUUUUUAUUUAAGGGGAUCUGUACUUUAAUUUUGUCUUUAUUGUUUUGUGUUUUGUUAUACAAAGAGGGUUUAACGCAAUAUAAUCUAUUUGAGGGAGCCAUAAUUACAUUUUUCAAGAGCCGUAGAACAGUAAGGUAAAAAGAGAGAUUAACUCCAUUUCCCCUACACUUCUUCUUCUUCUUCUUCUUUUUUUUUUACUCACUCAUUCAAGACUCUUGAAAGUGUUAUGUGAAUAGU